GACGAACGCUGGCGGCGUGCUUAACACAUGCAAGUCGAACGGAAAGGCCCUGCUUUUGUGGGGUGCUCGAGUGGCGAACGGGUGAGUAACACGUGAGUAACCUGCCCUUGACUUUGGGAUAACUUCAGGAAACUGGGGCUAAUACCGGAUAGGAGCUCCUGCUGCAUGGUGGGGGUUGGAAAGUUUCGGCGGUUGGGGAUGGACUCGCGGCUUAUCAGCUUGUUGGUGGGGUAGUGGCUUACCAAGGCUUUGACGGGUAGCCGGCCUGAGAGGGCGACCGGCCACAUUGGGACUGAGAUACGGCCCAGACUCCUACGGGAGGCAGCAGUGGGGAAUAUUGCACAAUGGGCGGAAGCCUGAUGCAGCAACGCCGCGUGCGGGAUGACGGCCUUCGGGUUGUAAACCGCUUUCGCCUGUGACGAAGCGUGAGUGACGGUAAUGGGUAAAGAAGCACCGGCUAACUACGUGCCAGCAGCCGCGGUGAUACGUAGGGUGCGAGCGUUGUCCGGAUUUAUUGGGCGUAAAGGGCUCGUAGGUGGUUGAUCGCGUCGGAAGUGUAAUCUUGGGGCUUAACCCUGAGCGUGCUUUCGAUACGGGUUGACUUGAGGAAGGUAGGGGAGAAUGGAAUUCCUGGUGGAGCGGUGGAAUGCGCAGAUAUCAGGAGGAACACCAGUGGCGAAGGCGGUUCUCUGGGCCUUUCCUGACGCUGAGGAGCGACAGCGUGGGGAGCGAACAGGCUUAGAUACCCUGGUAGUCCACGCUGUAAACGGUGGGUACUAGGUGUGGGGUCCAUUCCACGGGUUCCGUGCCGUAGCUAACGCUUUAAGUACCCCGCCUGGGGAGUACGGCCGCAAGGCUAAAACUCAAAGGAAUUGACGGGGCCCCGCACAAGCGGCGGAGCAUGCGGAUUAAUUCGAUGCAACGCGUAGAACCUUGCCUGGGUUUGACAUGGAUCGGGAGUGCUCAGAGAUGGGUGUGCCUCUUUUGGGGUCGGUUCACAGGUGGUGCAUGGCUGUCGUCAGCUCGUGUCGUGAGAUGUUGGGUUAAGUCCCGCAACGAGCGCAACCCUUGUUCACUGUUGCCAGCACGUUAUGGUGGGGACUCAGUGGAGACCGCCGGGGUCAACUCGGAGGAAGGUGGGGAUGACGUCAAGUCAUCAUGCCCCUUAUGUCCAGGGCUUCACGCAUGCUACAAUGGCUGGUACAGAGAGUGGCGAGCCUGUGAGGGUGAGCGAAUCUCGGAAAGCCGGUCUCAGUUCGGAUUGGGGUCUGCAACUCGACCUCAUGAAGUCGGAGUCGCUAGUAAUCGCAGAUCAGCAACGCUGCGGUGAAUACGUUCCCGGGGCU
rnacentral:rRNA from 1 species